AGUUACAAGCCCCCGAAACGGGGUCUAAUACCGGAUACUGAUCCUCGCAGGCAUCUGCGAGGUUCGAAAGCUCCGGCGGUGCAGGAUGAGCCCGCGGCCUAUCAGCUAGUUGGUGAGGUAACGGCUCACCAAGGCGACGACGGGUAGCCGGCCUGAGAGGGCGACCGGCCACACUGGGACUGAGACACGGCCCAGACUCCUACGGGAGGCAGCAGUGGGGAAUAUUGCACAAUGGGCGAAAGCCUGAUGCAGCGACGCCGCGUGAGGGAUGACGGCCUUCGGGUUGUAAACCUCUUUCAGCAGGGAAGAAGCGAAAGUGACGGUACCUGCAGAAGAAGCGCCGGCUAACUACGUGCCAGCAGCCGCGGUAAUACGUAGGGCGCCAGCGUUGUCCGGAAUUAUUGGGCGUAAAGAGCUCGUAGGCGGCUUGUCACGUCGGUUGUGAAAGCCCGGGGCUUAACCCCGGGUCUGCAGUCGAUACGUCAGUCUAGUGCC
rnacentral:rRNA from 1 species